AUGUUACAGAAACUCCAGAUACUACUCCCCUUCAGUGGUCUGAGUUGCGCGGCGCUUUUCCGCCUGUCCGGCAGGGGGCGCCGCGCAGAAAGCCGCAGUCCCUCUGCGGAAGGCGCCGCUCUUGGCUUCGGCGGCGCCGCUGUAGCUUGGAGGCGGUGCUUCCUCCAGCAUUUGCCGCGAGUUAUUGGCAAGUUCCCCUGCAGUUGUUUGGGCUGUCGCUGUGGCUGGUUCUGCGGUGUGCGGCCAGCCAUGGAGCGCUCUGGGCCCAGCGAUGUGACAGGCUCAGACGCAUUGGGACCGGACCCGCAGCUUGCGGUCACCAUGGGCUUCACGGGGUUCGGUGAGUGACUGCCCCAGGCAGAGACCCUCUUCCUUUUGCAGAGGUUUGAAGAGCCGCAGAGUGGGAGGGGAGAUCGAGCUGUCAACUCGGAAUUACUGUAGCUCGGGUGCAUACCUUGCAGUUUGUCAAUAUUCUUCUCCCAUUUGUCUUCUAUUCUGUGUAUCCGUUGGAACCAACUCAGGUGACAGUUAUGAGAGUCCUGGAGAGAGAGGAAGAGAAAGGAUUUUUCUAAUUUUAAGUCACCAAUAAUGCUAAAAUGAACAUUUUUGUAAAUAACAGCAUUUGUACGAGGAUUUUUAAAAAUAUGUAAUUCUGUAGGGUAGAUUUCUAAAAGAGAGCCUAGUUUAUUCAGAAGUAUAAAUACUUAAAAAGCUGAAAAAUUGGGUAUGUGCCUUUUAAAGCUUCUUGAUGCUUACUGCCGUAAUACCCAUCAAAAAACUUGUUUCAGGUUAUACCAAAGUUAACAGAAUUUAAGAAUGCCAUUUUUACCAUAUCCGUACCAACACAGAGUAGGUAUUAUUAUUUAAAAAGAAAAUUAUUUAAAAAAUGAAAACAAAACUUUAGUAGACUGAUACAUGAAAAAUGAUUUCUCUUUAUUUUGCAUUUUAAAAUUAUAAAUGCUGUUCAUCCAAACAUUGGGAUUCUAACUUCCCUGAACCUUUUCUCAAGGUCUUCUUGUUCUCUUUUGAGCAGCAUGUAUUAAUUCUAUGAUAGUAAUUAAACAGUAGACUUACACAUAUUGGCCUUGGGUUGUGUUCACACAUACUAGUUCUGUAGUUUUUCUAUUCAUUCUUUUUUUUGGGGAGACGGAGUCUCGCUCAGUCGCCCAGGCUGGAGUGCAGUGGCAAGAUCUCGGCUCACUGCGAGCUCUGCCUCCUGGAUUCACGCAAUUUUCCCGCCUCAGCCUCCCGAGUAGCUGGGACUAUAGGCGCCCGCCACCUCGCCUGGCUAAUUUUUUUUGUAUUUUUAGUAGAGACGGGGUUUCACCGUGUUAGCCA
rnacentral:lncRNA from 1 species